ACCACACAACAUGCUUUGAAAAAAUAGUUGGUUCGAAAACACUUACUUGUAUAGUCGUUUUGAUGGAUUUUAAUCUCCCAUUUUAGAAUAUUUAAACUAUUUGUACAAAACAUAAAUCAAGAAAUAAUAUUUUAUUUAGGCAUUUUUAAUGAUAUAUAUAACUUGUAUCAAGUUAGACCCACACCUAAUAGUAGAUCCUGUAACACCCCUCACCCGUAUCCAACUCCGGGACAGGGUUCGAGGCGUUACCAGACUUAAAC
rnacentral:lncRNA from 1 species